GUUUGUUUGGAGUUAUAAAGAAUUUAACCUGCCCCCUGAUUAACUAUUAAAUUAAAGGGCCGCAGUAUUAUAACUGUGCAAAGGUAGCAUAAUCAUUAGGUUUUUAAUUGAAAUCUCGUAUGAAUGGUUGGACAAAAGAAAGACUCUCUUUAUAUUAAGUUUUGAAUUUAACUUUUAAGUGAAAAGGCUUAAAUAUUCUAAAGGGACGAUAAGACCCUAUAAAACUUUACAUUGUCAUUAAUUUUGAUUGAAUUUAUGAAAUAAAAAUUUUAUUUGAUUAUUUGUUAUGUUGGGGAGACAUAAGUAAAAUAUUUUUUUAACUGCUUGAUAGUUAUACAAUUAUUAGUGAAUAAGUAGAAGAUCCUUUUUAAGAUUAGUAGAUUAAGUUACUUUAGGGAUAACAGUGUAAUUUCUUUUGAGAGUUCUUAUCGAAAAAGAAGGUUGCAACCUCGAUGUUGAAUUAAAAUAUCUAUAUAAUGGAGAAGUUAUAUAAGAAGGUCUGUUCGACCUUGAAAAUUUUACAUGAUUUGAGUUCAAACCGGUGUGAG
rnacentral:rRNA from 2 species